rnacentral:rRNA from 1 species
UCCAGACUCCUACGGGAGGCAGCAGUGGGGAAUAUUGCACAAUGGGGGAAACCCUGAUGCAGCGACGCCGCGUGAAGGAAGAAGUAUCUCGGUAUGUAAACUUCUAUCAGCAGGGAAGAAAACAGACGGUACCUGACUAAGAAGCCCCGGCUAACUACGUGCCAGCAGCCGCGGUAAUACGUAGGGGGCAAGCGUUAUCCGGAUUUACUGGGUGUAAAGGGGGCGCAGACGGCCAUGGCAAGCCCGGUGUGAAAGGCAGGGGCAUAACCCCUGGACUGCACUGGGAACUGUCAGGCUGGAGUGCCGGAGGGGUAAGCGGAAUUCCUGGUGUAGCGGUGAAAUGCGUAGAUAUCAGGAGGAACACCGGCGGCGAAGGCGGCUUACUGGACGGCAACUGACGUUGAGGCCCGAAAGCGUGGGGAGCGAACAGGAUUAGAUACCCCAGUA